CAGGAGCAAAAAUAACCUUCUUAACCACCUGACGCUUAAACCAAAGAUUCACUAAGUGUGCCAAUAGGAGUACUAUAUAUAUCAGCCAAAGACAAGGCCCAGCUGUGGGCCAUGAGAGCCUCCCACUGCUGGGUCUGCCGUUCAGCUCGAGAAACAAGCCAAGAAGAAAAGCAAUGAAUGAGAGUUCCUGUUGCUCCACGUUCGGUGUUGUCAGUGUUCUGGAUUUUGACCAUUCUAAUAGACAGUGUUUUGUGCCUGAAAAGAGACACAGGCUGCAAAGACUCAUCUGAACUGUCCAGAAACGUCUUUAAUCUUGACCAUUUUCAAACACAGAUGUCCACGGUGAAGAAUUUUCUAAGGAAUUCUUACAAUGCAGAGUCUGUUCAGAGGAUGCUGAUUUCAAAACCUCUGUACACAGGGCAUAAUGAAGAGGGAAAGAAAGUGCACAGCUUCGGGUAACUUAAGAAAAAGGAAGAAGAUUUGACAGGAAAUGCAAGACUACCCAAGUAGAAAGCAUGUAGCAUGCUGUGACUCAGAAUAAAGGAAAUGUAACUCGAAGUGUAACUCUUCUGGUCUAACACAGACCAGGGCUUGCCCUCAAGCACUGCAAAGGAUGCCAGUUUCCAGCUGUAUACAUAUGCACAAAUAAAACAGGAUGCAUGUAGAAUGUACUUGCCACGAUCGUGGGCAAGGGACUCUUACUCAUCUUUCAUCAAUGAUUUCGGUUCUAUAAUUUUCCAUGAAAUUUUAUUCUUUUAGGACUAUAAAAAUUCCAAUCACUCGUGAGCUGGUAAGGGAAAUGUAUAUUUAAUGUCUAUCAGUGCAGGAUGUGGGGAGAUUAACCAUUUAAUACCGAUUUGAACAGUCUGGUAAUCUAGGGAUUUAGGAAUGUAGGUGAAGCCACUACACUGUUGGAUUUUAUUGCUGACUGUAUGUGCAUGUAUGAACUUGAGCCAGUGGAGGGAGGAAUUCAGUCCGCCGUUUCAGGACCUAUCAGUGCUGUGUGCCCUCAGUACCGUUCUUUGUGCUUCUCCUGCCCUGCUCUGUAUCCCAGGAGGCUGACCUCUGCAGGCUGUUUCCAAGCUUCUGUCUGUUUCCCAGGCUCUUAUCAUUAAUAUCACUACUUUUCCUUUCUUCUCCCUCCCUCCCUCCCUCCCUUCCUUUCUCUUCCUCUAGCUGGGUUUGGUCCAUCAGAAAUUGGAGGGUGGCAAAAGGGGAGAAGCCAGAGUACUGAUCAUCUUCCCUCUCUAGUAGUGGCUUCAUCUCUUCCUUGGCUCCAGCUUCCAAUGGACAGGCCCAGUAUGAUCCCAGCUUUGACUGGUCACCUAUGUCUCUCCAGCUUAGGAGUGGUAGCAGCUUAUAGCUAUGACCAGUCUGGGGUUGCUUCCGUGUCCUCUGCUGAGCUUCUAGCCUUUGUGGUCAACUUCCUACAUUAAAUUCCUUCUGUUUUAAAUACCCGGAGUGGUUUCUGUG